UUUGGCAGAAGCCAAAUAGAGGCCUAUCACUGUUAAUGAUAAAACUGAAUUUUUUCCUGUCAA
rnacentral:tRNA from 1 species